UAUAUUUAUCAUUUUACAUUUUCUUAUUGAGAAAUUGAAUGAAACAACAUUUCCUGCAAUGAAAUGUGAAAAUAAUGAUGAAAAUGUCAAAAAAUGGAAGGCGAUAAUAUUUUACACAAUAACAUUGAUAGGAAAGGACAUUUUGUGCUAAUUACCUCACCACUGAAUAUUAAAAACUAGCUUGAGUAAAUCAGUCUCGUCUUAUCGAAGUGAACUCAAAUUCCAAAACUGCAUAAUGAUAAGCAUCUAACACUCAUGCACCAGAGCUAUAUAUAACAAACUAUAUUGCAAGUAGUAACUCGUAUUACAAUACCAAGGCAUGUCAAAUGAAAUUCUCAAACCAUUAAACAAUAAAUCUUAAUACUAUAAUAGAAAACUAAUACUGCAGAAAAUACUGUCGUCACACGUAACUNN
rnacentral:lncRNA from 1 species